rnacentral:rRNA from 1 species
AUUGAACGCUGGCGGCAGGCCUAACACAUGCAAGUCGAACGGUAACAGGAAGCAGCUUGCUGCUUUGCUGACGAGUGGCGGACGGGUGAGUAAUGUCUGGGAAACUGCCCGAUGGAGGGGGAUAACUACUGGAAACGGUAGCUAAUACCGCAUAACGUCGCAAGACCAAAGAGGGGGACCUUAGGGCCUCUUGCCAUCGGAUGUGCCCAGAUGGGAUUAGCUAGUAGGUGGGGUAACGGCUCACCUAGGCGACGAUCCCUAGCUGGUCUGAGAGGAUGACCAGCCACACUGGAACUGAGACACGGUCCAGACUCCUACGAGAGGCAGCAGUGGGGAAUAUUGCACAAUGGGCGCAAGCCUGAUGCAGCCAUGCCGCGUGUAUGAAGAAGGCCUUCGGGUUGUAAAGUACUUUAAGCGGGGAGGAAGGGAGUAAAGUUAAUACCUUUGCUCAUUGACGUUACCCGCAGAAGAAGCACCGGCUAACUCCGUG